rnacentral:rRNA from 1 species
UGGGGAAUAUUGGACAAUGGAGGCAACUCUGAUCCAGCAAUUCUGUGUGUGUGAAGAAGGUUUUAGGACUGUAAAACACUUUUAGUAGGGAAGAAAAAAAUGACGGUACCUACAGAAGAAGCGACGGCUAAAUACGUGCCAGCAGCCGCGGUAAUACGUAUGUCGCGAGCGUUAUCCGGAAUUAUUGGGCUUAAAGGGCAUCUAGGCGGUUAAACAAGUUGAAGGUGAAAACCUGUGGCUCAACCAUAGGCUUGCCUACAAAACUGUAUAACUAGAGUACUGGAAAGGUGGGUGGAACUACACGAGUAGAGGUGAAAUUCGUAGAUAUGUGUAGGGAUGCCGAUGAUGAAGAUAACUCACUGGACAGCAACUGACGCUGAAGUGCGAAAGCUAGGGGAGCAAACAGG